rnacentral:rRNA from 1 species
UACGGAGGGUGCGAGCGUUGUCCGGAAUUACUGGGCGUAAAGGGCUCGUAGGCGGCCAACUAAGUCGGAUGUGAAAUCCCCAGGCUCAACCUGGGAACUGCAUCCGAUACUGGAUGGCUUGAAUUCGGGAGAGGGAUGCAGAAUUCCAGGUGUAGCGGUGAAAUGCGUAGAUAUCUGGAGGAAUACCGGUGGCGAAGGCGGCAUCCUGGACCGACAUUGACGCUGAUGAGCGAAAGCUAGGGGAGCAAACGGG